rnacentral:rRNA from 1 species
AUUGAACGCUGGCGGCAUGCUUUACACAUGCAAGUCGAACGGCAGCGAGGAGAAGCUUGCUUCUCUGUCGGCGAGUGGCGAACGGGUGAGUAUAGCAUCGGAACGUGCCAAGUAGUGGGGGUUAUCCAAACGAAAGUUUGGCUAAUACCGCGUAAGCUCUACGGAGGAAAGUAGGGGACCUAAAUAAGGCCUUACGCUAUUUGAUCGGCCGAUGUCGGAUUAGCUAGUUGGUGGGGUAAUGGCUCACCAAGGCAAAGAUCCGUAGCGGGUCUGAGAGGACGAACCGCCACACGGGGACUGAGACACGGCCCAGACUCCGACGGGAAGCAGCAGUGGGGAAUUUUGGACAAUGGGGGAAAGCCUGAUCCAGCCAAGCCGCGUGUAUGAAGAAGGACUUAGGGUUGUAAAAUACUUUUGUUAGGGAAGAAAAGAUAGUUUUUAAUAAAAAAUAGUGAUGACGGUACCUAAAGAAUAAGCACCGGCUAACUACGUG